UAAUAGUACAUUAUUGCAGAGGCCGGGAAAGGACAAUUCGUGGAUGAUCCGACAAAGAAGACGAAUCCACGAAUUGCUAUUCCUGCCGAGGCAUAUAUAGUGCUUUUCUCCAAACAUGCGAGGAAAUAAGGUAAAAUAAUAAUAAUUUAAGCAUCAAGCAUCACUCAAAUCGAACCUCCACAUCAAAAAUGUCAAAACCAAUUUCCCUCUUUAAUUAAU